UGACAAAGCUUGACCUUUACCUUUUGUAGU
rnacentral:piRNA from 1 species